UGGGGAAUAUUGGACAAUGGGCGAAAGCCUGAUCCAGCCAUGCCGCUUGUGUGAAGAAGGUCUUCGGAUUGUAAAGCACUUUAAGUUGGGAGGAAGGGCAUUAACCUAAUACGUUAGUGUUUUGACGUUACCGACAGAAUAAGCACCGGCUAACUCUGUGCCAGCAGCCGCGGUAAUACAGAGGGUGCAAGCGUUAAUCGGAAUUACUGGGCGUAAAGCGCGCGUAGGUGGUUUGUUAAGUUGGAUGUGAAAUUCCCGGGCUCAACCUGGGAACUGCAUUCAAAACUGACUGACUAGAGUAUGGUAGAGGGUGGUGGAAUUUCCUGUGUAGCGGUGAAAUGCGUAGAUAUAGGAAGGAACACCAGUGGCGAAGGCGACCACCUGGACUAAUACUGACACUGAGGUGCGAAAGCGUGGGGAGCAAACA
rnacentral:rRNA from 1 species